UGGGGAAUAUUGGACAAUGGGCGCAAGCCUGAUCCAGCCAUGCCGCGUGAGUGAUGAAGGCCCUAGGGUUGUAAAGCUCUUUCAACGGUGAAGAUAAUGACGGUAACCGUAGAAGAAGCCCCGGCUAACUUCGUGCCAGCAGCCGCGGUAAUACGAAGGGGGCUAGCGUUGUUCGGAUUUACUGGGCGUAAAGCGCACGUAGGCGGAUCGUUAAAGUGAGGGGUGAAAUCCCAGGGCUCAAACCCUGGAACUGCCUUUCAUACUGGCGAUCUGGAGUUCGAGAGAGGUGAGUGGAAUUCCGAGUGUAGAGGUGAAAUUCGUAGAUAUUCGGAGGAACACCAGUGGCGAAAGGCGGCUCACUGGCUCGAUACUGACGCUGAGGUGCGAAAAGCGUGGGGGAGCAAACAGGAUUAGAUACCCUGGUAGUCCACGCCGUAAAACGAUGAAUGUUAGCCGUCGGGCAGUAUACUGUUCGGUGGCGCAGCUAAACGCAUUAAAACAUUCCGCCUGGGGAGUACGGUCGCAAGAUU
rnacentral:rRNA from 1 species